UAGGUUAAAUUUUGAUCAGAUGUGUUCCUUCGUUUCAACUGCAGUCUGCUACAGUGGAUUGGCAGUACUGCCCAAAACGUUAUGUUCUACGUAAACCCUAACGUAUACGCUCAAUUGUGGACGCAGCCUGAGAGGUCGCGAGAGCUGCAGGCAACGCAGGGAAAAUAAACCAUAACCUAUAGAAAAGUCUCAUUUUCCGCGAGUCAUUUCGGAGUCAUAGACUUGUAGUUCGUAGGUAAUUUCGUAGCAAAAUUUGAUUAUGGCAAUCGAAUCUAUGAUAAAUUUGGAACCAUAUCUAUACUUAUAGUCACGUUAAUUUUGGAGCAGUGUAUGUGAUAGGCCGGACAUCAUCUUGGAUAAGAAACAUUAAAUUUCCUUUCACUUGAUUCGUCAUUUGCAUAACGUUUGGUUCCACGGAUGGUAAUUCAUUAUGCUAUUAUAACUGUUAAAUCAGUUAUAUUUUUAAUGUUAAGUGCUAACAUGUUUAAGGAAUAAAAAUUAAGAUCGAAUAAGAAAGUAAUACACACUCAAAAACAAGUAGUAAUGAGUUCAAAUAAUAUGAAAGCUUUAGGCAUUACAAAGCAAGUGCUGAUUUCAAAGAGUAAAUUAAUAACGUCAUAGAAUUCUAAAGUUCCUAUGGCUAAGGAUGCAAAAGCAAUAUCAUCACCAGCUACUGUUAAAGGAGCAACAACAAAUGUACUACUGACAACUAGGACUCAAAACAUUACGCCGAUGGAAGUUCAAAUGGAUACAAUACAACAUCAAGCACAGACACAGAAAGCAGAAACUCCAGUAAAAGCAAUUGAAUCUUCCAAGCCUGUAGAAAUAAAAACAGCUACUGUGCUGAAAAAAGUUGUUAAAAAGGAACAUCAAAAAUCUGAUCCACUUGUCUUCAAAGCUAUGCUUGGUCCUGCUUUAUUCUCAACUGCAAAUUUAAUUCGUCGUGUGGGUUCAACUGAAUCCAGAACUCCAGAUAGCUUGGUUACAACAACACCAUCAGCAGUCGUCAAUAAUGCAAACAUAAGUUUUUCUGGAGUUAGUGCAUCAGGUUGCACUGUUGCGACUCCAUCUUUAAAUACUACCUAUGAACGCAGCUAUUAUAUUGCAUGAGCCAAUGGAUACAAACAUUUCUGCAACCGAUACUACAAAUGACGGCCUCGCUAGACUUGAUGCUAAUACAUCUUUAUUAUCAGAAGAUUUAGAGGUGAUAAAAUCGAUAGCAAAGCUGCUAUAGCAGAGUUGCUUCAAACAGCCUUAAAGGCUGGUACCAUUUAUCUUCCGGCAAUAAGUAACAUAAUGGCCCAUCCCUUUCUCAAUAACUGGAGGAAUAUACCUAGCUACGCCACACAGAUUAAAGGUUUGGCAUAAUGAAGUUUCUCGAAUGGAAGUUAAAUCCUUCAUCAAACUACAGAAUAAAUUGCUUAUAUUACCUUGGCAAUUUACAUCAUAAUUAUUCAAAUUUGGCAUCAAUGAAUGAAAUGAAUGGAUGCUACUGGUUAAUUUUUCAUCGCCAGCUAUUGAGGAGGUCAACUUUAUAUUAUCAGAAAAUCCUUCCAAAUCAUCGUCAAAGGUCACUUCAUUCAAUUUCAUUGACUUUUUAAUCCAAUUCGACAGUUUCAGAAAGAAAAUUCUUGGCACUCAGCAGUUGUGUACUUUCAUUUCCAUCUCUCUGCAGCAAAAAGAAAUUCAUUGUCGUCCUUAACAAUUACUUUUUUUGAAACAAUUUCAUCUGGCUGCAAAUUGUUCAAUGAAGUACGUGCUAAGAGCAUGUCACUAUCAAUUUGACGACAAUGAUUCACAAAAACUACAUCUCCUCUUUGAAAAGCAUCAUUCGAAGAUUUGUGGUCGCUAAAAUAUGACUCUGCUCUUGCUGAAGUAGCCACGUCUUCUGAGUUAUCAAAAUAGACAUUCAUAACUUUAGUCCAGCGUGGAAAUUCUGCACAUAAAACUGAUAAUCGUUCAGCAAAGUUAGGUAAGUAAUAGUCAUUA